AGGGUGAUCGGCCACACUGGGACUGAGACACGGCCCAGACUCCUACGGGAGGCAGCAGUAGGGAAUCUUCCGCAAUGGACGAAAGUCUGACGGAGCAACGCCGCGUGAGUGAUGAAGGUUUUCGGAUCGUAAAGCUCUGUUGUUAGGGAAGAACAAGUACCGUUCGAAUAGGGCGGUACCUUGACGGUACCUAACCAGAAAGCCACGGCUAACUACGUGCCAGCAGCCGCGGUAAUACGUAGGUGGCAAGCGUUNUCCGGAAUUAUUGGGCGUAAAGGGCUCGCAGGCGGUUUCUUAAGUCUGAUGUGAAAGCCCCCGGCUCAACCGGGGAGGGUCAUUGGAAACUGGGGAACUUGAGUGCAGAAGAGGAGAGUGGAAUUCCACGUGUNGCGGUGAAAUGCGUAGAGAUGUGGAGGAACACCAGUGGCGAAGGCGACUCUCUGGUCUGUAACUGACGCUGAGGAGCGAAAGCGUGGGGAGCGAA
rnacentral:rRNA from 1 species